GGACAACCUGCCCUCGGGAGGGGGAUAACCCCGGGAAACUGGGGCUAAACCCCCAUAGGGGAUGGAUACUGGAAUGUUCCAUCUCCGAAAGUCCGCAAGGAGCCCGAGGAUGGGUCUGCGGCGGAUUAGGUAGUUGGUGGGGUAACGGCCCACCAAGCCUAAGAUCCGUACGGGCCAUGGGAGUGGGAGCCCGGAGAUGGACCCUGAGACAAGGGUCCAGGCCCUACGGGGCGCAGCAGGCGCGAAACCUCCGCAAUGCGGGAAACCGCGACGGGGUCAGCCGGAGUGCCGAUGCUUGCAUCGGCUGUCGGGGAGCCUAAAAAGCUCUCCAAGCAAGGGCCGGGCAAGGCCGGUGGCAGCCGCCGCGGUAAUACCGGCGGCCCGAGUGGCGGUCACUAUUAUUGGGCUUAAAGCGUCCGUAGCCGGGUUGGUUAGUCUCCCGGGAAAUCUGGCCGCUCAACGGUCAGAAUUCCGGGAGAUACUGCCAGCCUAGGGACCGGGAGAGGCCGAGGGUAUUCCCGGAGUAGGGGUGAAAUCCUAUAAUCCCGGGAGGACCACCUGUGGCGAAGGCGCUCGGCUGGAACGGGUCCGACGGUGAGGGACGAAGGCCAGGGGAGCAAACCGGAUUAGAUACCCGGGUAGUCCUGGCUGUAAACGAUGCGGACUUUGUGUCGGACAAGCUAUGAGCUUGUCCGGUGCCGGAGGGAAACCGUUAAGUCCGCCGCCUGAGGAGUACGGCCGCAAGGCUGAAACU
rnacentral:rRNA from 1 species